rnacentral:rRNA from 1 species
UACGUAGGGUGCAAGCGUUGUCCGGAAUUAUUGGGCGUAACGGGCUCGUAGGCGGUCCAUCACGUCGGGAGUGAAAAGCUGGGGCUUAACCCCAGUCCUGCUUCCGAUACGGGUGGACUAGAGGUAGGUAGGGGAGAACGGAAUUCCUGGUGUAGCGGUGAAAUGCGCAGAUAUCAGGAGGAACACCGGUGGCGAAGGCGACUCACUGGACCGGAACUGACGCUGAGGCGCGAAAGCGUGGGGAGCAAACGGG